rnacentral:snRNA from 1 species
AAGCGCUUCUCUCCUUCUUACCC